GUGCGAUUGGUUAGAAUAUUAAUAGCAUCAUUACCCUAUUGUAUUUUCAUAUUAAAUGUCAACUGUUUACCAUGGUUUGGCGGGGAAGCGCCGCAUGUCUCCUUGUCUACUCGGUCAUCCGAGUUUCAAAUUCAAAAAGAAAAAAGAAACAGAUAUCCUACCUGUUAUGAUCAUAUCCUUUUGUAUUCUGUUUUUUUCUUUCGUAAUAUGAUUUCCCCACUUUAUUUUCAAGCAGAAGAAAACGCUAACUGAUUCAAAUUAGAUAGCUAGCUGCAAAUUUAGGCGAAAAUUUGCGAAAAUUUCAUUUGACAGCCUCAUAUAAACAACAAUUGUUAUUUGCGAAGUAUCAUCUUACUACUUAAAAAGAUCGUUUCGAGACUUACUAUUAACUUACUAACUUUCAAAGAAAAUUUGAUCCACGUUUUUGUUGUGGUCUAAAUUGUCUUUUCAGAAGUAAGAAAACUGAGAUUACUUUGAAAAGAACACUCAUACCGCCCCAUAUCAGUAUAUUCGAAUUCACACAGUUUGAAAUGACUUGUUCGCCACAAUUGGCAUCUGCGAAAAAAAAAGAAAAAAAAUAAUAAUAACAAAAACAACCCACACACACUCACACACUCGCGUCUCCGGGGCAGCCGCACGGUUGCAAAUAUCGUGCGUCGUUAUAUUUUGCCUCAGGACAAAAAAGUACUGACAGGUCUUUUUCCUCUCUUUUGCAUAAUCAAGUCACGAAACGUAUGGUGUAACUUCAUCUGAUGCAGUAUAUUCACGCGGGAUGGAAACUUAACAUUCUACAGAGAUGAUGGUCGAGAUUAAAUGACAAAAGUCAGAAAAGAAAUAUAUUACAAUUUAUUCCAUGCCAUAGAUAUUAUAAGCAAUCGAAUUUUUUUUCCUAUUCGACAGCAUCUGACAGCAGUGUUAGUAUUUUCCCGCCAUUAUGUGUCGCGACAGUAAACGUUCGUUCAGUUUCCCGCCAAAACAAUAAAAUGGCCGCUGGUGGUCGCUUUGUUUUACAAGGCUUUUGUAGUGAAGUGUCAGCAGGACUGCUGACCACAUACGUUUUCGCCGAUUAUGCGCAGCUUCGCCUAAAGGCUAGGGUUUUUUUUUUUUUAACUUACGUGCAGAAAAAAUAACCCUCGUAGAAUAUUUCACGAUAUUUCGGAAGCUGCCAAAAAUUGGUCUAGGUCUUGAUCUAAUUAGAUUUACAAGUUCUCAUCCUGAGCUGGGGAAGAAUUUGAAUGUGUUUUAUGUCGGAAAGAAAUUAUUUUGAUGAUCUGGUGAUUCUUCGGAGAAAUGCUAAUAAGAAAUAGAACUUCCCGUGGAAACAUUUAACGGUAUAACAGAGGAUGCAAGACCGUGCUGGCCGAAACAUUUUCGUGCCAAUGAAAUUUCCAUUUAACGGGGAACGCGCGGGUAAAGACAGAAUUGAAUUUACCAAGGUAAGAUCUAGCAUAUUUUUUCUACACCAAUUUCCGAUACUAAAAUGUUAUUAAACAUAUUCGACUCCAUCAUUCUCGUCACAAAUAGUGGACUGAAUUAUGGUUGAAGAAUAAAGAAACUAAGCCCUGACAUGGAAAUUAUUAAUGCUCAUCAAGUAAUAUUUAUGCCCCGGAUGAAGAGUGCAGUCCCCCACCAAGAGGAGUUUUAUUUGGUCGGUCCGUGAGGACCACUAAAACUUACAAUAAGUGAUUGACGAAGUCAGUCUGGUUAUUCGUUAAAUUACCAAGCAAAAUUUGAAGAAAGCUGUACCAAAACGUAAAUGUUAACGGAGUACACCAUAAGUUGUCCAAUAGAUACUCACAACCAUUUCGUCAUUUCGCGUUUGAAUGAAACACUACUACAAGAUUUCGAAGUAACGUGUAAUUCAAGGAUAAUGAAGAGGUCCAUAGAAAAAUUAUACUUUAUCUGUUCAGUUUUGAAUUAUUUGUCAGAAAUUGCCUUAAGCCUUUGUACCAGUUCUUGUUUCAGAAAUAUAUAUCGUAUCGAUACACCGUAAAUGAUAGCUAAUUACGCGCACUAAACAAAA